AUACGUAGGUGACAAGCGUUAUCCGGAUUUACUGGGCGUAAAGGGCGUGUAGGCGGUCUUGCAAGUCAGAAGUGAAAUUCCUGAGCUCAACUCGGGCGCUGCUUCUGAAACUGCAGGACUUGAGUGCUGGAGGGGAUAGCGGAAUUCCUAGUGGAGCGGUAAAAUGCGCAGAUAUUAGGAAGAACCACGGUGGCGAAGGCGGCUAUCUGGACAGUAACUGACGCUGAGGCGCGAAAGCGUGGGGAGCAAACAGGAUUAGAUACCCGGGUAGUCCACGCCGUAAACGAUGAAUACUAGGUGUAGGGGGUAUCGACUCCCUCUGUGCCGCAGUAAACACAAUAAGUAUUCCGCCUGGGGAGUACGGCCGCAAGGUUGAAACUCAAAGGAAUUGACGGGG
rnacentral:rRNA from 1 species